rnacentral:misc_RNA from 1 species
UCGCGGCUUAUCGCCGGCGGUCCCUUUAGAGUGCCCAACUAAAUGAUGGCAACUAAAGGAGAGGGUUGCGCUCGUUGCGGGACUUAACCCAACACCUCACGGCACGAGCUGACGACAGCCGUGCAGCACCUGUGCACGCUCCCUUGCGGGUCCUCGGUGUCUCCACCUCGUACCACGUGCAUGUCAAGCCUGGGUAAGGUUCUUCGCGUUGCGUCGAAUUAAACCACACGCUCCGCUGCUUGUGCGGGCCCCCGUCAAUUCCUUUGAGUUUUAAUCUUGCGACCGUACUCCCCAGGCGGAGAGCUUAAUGCGUUAGCUGCGCCACCGAACAGUAUACUGCCCGACGGCUAGCUCUCAUAGUUUACGGCGUGGACUAC